rnacentral:tRNA from 1 species
GCACCGCUAGUCUAAUGGUUAGGAUAUCUGCCUUCCAAGCAGAUGGACCGGGUUCGAUUCCCGGGCGGUGCA